ensembl:lncRNA
CCCCUUUUCUGCCCCCAAAUCCCUCGAUCCGCUCUGACCGAAAAUGGUGGUUUUUAGCAGUGGUCUUUUUCUCUGUUUUAGCACCAAAAUUUGGGGUUUGUUUCUGACUUUGGCCCCAAAAUCAUCUCCUUGAUCUCAACCUGAACACAAAAAUACUGUUUUAUAACAAAAAAUGCCAUUUUAUGGCCCCAAAAUGGCGUUUUUCAGAGGAAAAAUGAAUUUGUAUUAGGAAAUCCAUUUUUGGGGCAAAGAAAACCUGCAAAAAUCAUAAUUUUUGUGAACAGAAUGCAAGGUUUUGAAUCGAAAAAAGCACUGAAGAUGGAAACAUCAAAAAUAGAAUUUUCCAACCAAAAACGUGUGUUUUGAGGCAGAAAUUUGCCCAAAAAUCCCCUUUUCUGCCCCCAAAUCCCUCGAUCCGCUCUGACCGAAAAUGGUGGUUUUUAGCAGUGGUCUUUUUCUCUGUUUUAGCACCAAAAUUUGGGGUUUGUUUCUGACUUUGGCCCCAAAAUCAUCUCCUUGAUCUCAACCUGAACACAAAAAUACUGUUUUAUAACAAAUAAUGCCAUUUUAUGGCCCCAAAAUGGCGUUUUUUCGGAGGAAAAAUGAAUUUGUGCCAGAAAAUCCAUUUUGGGGCAAAGAAAACCUGCAAAAAUCAUAAUUUUUGUGAACAGAAUGAAAGAUUUUGAAUCGAAAAAAGCACUGAAGAUGGAAACAUCAAAAAUAGAAUUUUCCAACCAAAAACGUGUGUUUUGAGGCAGAAAUUUGACCAAAAAUCCCCUUUUCUGCUCCCAAAUCCCUCGAUCCGUUCCGACUGAAAAGGGUGAUUUUUAGCAGUGGUCAUUUUCUCUGUUUUAGCACCAAAAUUCGGGUUUUCUUUCUCACUUUGGACCCAAAUCGCCUCAAUCUGUACACAAAAAUUCUCAUUUCAUUUAAAAAAGUGCAAUUUUAGGGCCCCAAAAUGGCGUUUUUCGGAGGAAAAACGAUUUUGUGUCAGAAAAUCCAUUUUUGGGGCAAAGAAAACCUUCAGAAACUGCAGUUUUUGUGAACAGAAUGCAAGACUCUAAAUCGAAAGAAGCACUGAAGGGGAAAACCACGAAAAUAGCAUUUUAUGACCAAAAAUUCAUGUUUUGAGGCAGAAAUUGGCCCAAAAUCCCCUUUUUCAACCCCGAAUCCCUCAAUCCGUUCUGACUGAAAAUGGUGGUUUUUAGCAGUGGUCAUAUUCUCUGUUUUAGCACCAAAAUCUGGGGUUUAUUUCUGACUUUGGACCCAAAAUCAUCUCCUGGAUCUCAACCUGAACACAAAAAUAUUGUUUUGUAACUAAUAAUGCCAUUUUAUGGCCCCAAGAUGGCAUUUUUUGGAGGAAAAGUGAUUUUGUGUGAGAAAAUCCAUUUUUGGGCAAAGAAAACCUUCAAAAAUUGCAGUUUCUGUGAACAGAAUGGACGCCUCUAAAUCAAAAGAAGCACUGAAGGGGAAAAUAUCAAAAAGAGAAUUUUAUGACCAAAAAAUGUGUAUUUUGAGGGAGAAAUUUGCCCAGAAUCCCCCUUUUUUGCCCCGAAUCCCUCGAUCCAUUCCGACUGAAAAUGGUGAUUUUUAGCAGUGGUUUUUUUCAUUGUUUUAGCACCAAAAUUUGGGCUUUCUUUCUUACUUUGGACCCAAAUCGUCCCAAUCUGUACACGAAAAUUCUCAUUUCAUUUAAAAAAGUGCAAUUUUAUGGCCCCAAAAUGGCGUUUUUCCAAGGAAAAACAAUUUUGUGUCAGAAAAUCCAUUUUUGGGCAAAGAAAACCUGCAAAAAUCAUAAUUUCUGUGAAGAGAAUGCAAAUUUUGAAUCGAAAGAAAGGCUGAAGGGGAAAACAUCAAAAAGAGAAUUUUCCAACCAAAAACGUGUGUUUUGAGGCAGAAAUUUGCCCAAAAAUCCUCUUUUUCAACCCGUAAUCCCUCAAUCCGUCCUGACCGAAAAUGGUGAUUUUUAGCAGUGCUUUUUUUCACCGUUUUAGCACCAAAAUUCGGGUUUUCUUUCUCACUUUGUCCCCAAAUCGCCUCAAUCUGUACACAAAAAUUCUCAUUUCAUUUAAAAAAGUGCAAUUUUAGAGCCCCAAAAUGGCGUUUUUCGGAGGAAAAACGACUUUGUGUCAGUAAACAAUUUUGGGGCAAAAAACGGUGGUUUUGGGACCCACCAAAAAUCGCCAUUGCCAGGAAUUGAACAAAAAUCGCUAUUUUCACCCCCCCGCAUUCUCCACUAUCACCAAAA